GGGCGUUAAGUUGCAGGGUAUAGACCCGAAACCCGGUGAUCUAGCCAUGGGCAGGUUGAAGGUUGGGUAACACUAACUGGAGGACCGAACCGACUAAUGUUGAAAAAUUAGCGGAUGACCUGUGGCUGGGGGUGAAAGGCCAAUCAAACCGGGAGAUAGCUGGUUCUCCCCGAAAGCUAUUUAGGUAGCGCCUCGUGAAUUCAUCUCCGGGGGUAGAGCACUGUUUCGGCUAGGGGGCCAUCCCGGCUUACCAACCCGAUGCAAACUGCGAAUACCGGAGAAUGUUAUCACGGGAGACACACGGCGGGUGCUAACGUCCGUCGUGAAGAGGGAAACAACCCAGACCGCCAGCUAAGGUCCCAAAGUCAUGGUUAAGUGGGAAACGAUGUGGGAAGGCCCAGACAGCCAGGAUGUUGGCUUAGAAGCAGCCAUCAUUUAAAGAAAGCGUAAUAGCUCACUGGUCGAGUCGGCCUGCGCGGAAGAUGUAACGGGGCUAAACCAUGCACCGAAGCUGCGGCAGCGACACUAUCACUUAAAGCGAUUCAGCGGGUUACGAUUGACGGAGCGAAGCGACGUCAAAGCGUAUACAAAGUCGAGUCGGUUUAAGGAUACGUUCGUUGGGUAGGGGAGCGUUCUGUAAGCCUGCGAAGGUGGCCUGUGAGGGUUGCUGGAGGUAUCAGAAGUGCGAAUGCUGACAUAAGUAACGAUAAAGCGGGUGAAAAGCCCGCUCGCCGGAAGACCAAGGGUUCCUGUCCAACGUUAAUCGGGGCAGGGUGAGUCGACCCCUAAGGCGAGGCCGAAAGGCGUAGUCGAUGGGAAACGGGUUAAUAUUCCCGUACUUGGUGUUACUGCGAAGGGGGGACGGAGAAGGCUAUGUUGGCCGGGCGACGGUUGUCCCGGUUUAAGCGUGUAGGUGUGUGUUCCAGGUAAAUCCGGUUCACUUUAACACUGAGGCGUGACGACGAGGCACUACGGUGCUGAAGCAACAAAUGCCCUGCUUCCAGGAAAAGCCUCUAAGCAUCAGGUAACAUCAAAUCGUACCCCAAACCGACACAGGUGGUCAGGUAGAGAAUACCAAGGCGCUUGAGAGAACUCGGGUGAAGGAACUAGGCAAAAUGGUGCCGUAACUUCGGGAGAAGGCACGCUGACACGUAGGUGAAGUGAUUUACUCAUGGAGCUGAAGUCAGUCGAAGAUACCAGCUGGCUGCAACUGUUUAUUAAAAACACAGCACUGUGCAAACACGAAAGUGGACGUAUACGGUGUGACGCCUGCCCGGUGCCGGAAGGUUAAUUGAUGGGGUCAGCGCAAGCGAAGCUCCUGAUCGAAGCCCCGGUAAACGGCGGCCGUAACUAUAACGGUCCUAAGGUAGCGAAAUUCCUUGUCGGGUAAGUUCCGACCUGCACGAAUGGCGUAAUGAUGGCCAGGCUGUCUCCACCCGAGACUCAGUGAAAUUGAACUCGCUGUGAAGAUGCAGUGUACCCGCGGCAAGACGGAAAGACCCCGUGAACCUUUACUAUAGCUUGACACUGAACAUUGAGCCUUGAUGUGUAGGAUAGGUGGGAGGCUUUGAAGUGUGGACGCCAGUCUGCAUGGAGCCGACCUUGAAAUACCACCCUUUAAUGUUUGAUGUUCUAACGUGGACCCGUAAUCCGGGUUGCGGACAGUGUCUGGUGGGUAGUUUGACUGGGGCGGUCUCCUCCUAAAGAGUAACGGAGGAGCACGAAGGUUGGCUAAUCCUGGUCGGACAUCAGGAGGUUAGUGCAAUGGCAUAAGCCAGCUUGACUGCGAGCGUGACGGCGCGAGCAGGUGCGAAAGCAGGUCAUAGUGAUCCGGUGGUUCUGAAUGGAAGGGCCAUCGCUCAACGGAUAAAAGGUACUCCGGGGAUAACAGGCUGAUACCGCCCAAGAGUUCAUAUCGACGGCGGUGUUUGGCACCUCGAUGUCGGCUCAUCACAUCCUGGGGCUGAAGUAGGUCCCAAGGGUAUGGCUGUUCGCCAUUUAAAGUGGUACGCGAGCUGGGUUUAGAACGUCGUGAGACAGUUCGGUCCCUAUCUGCCGUGGGCGCUGGAGAACUGAGGGGGGCUGCUCCUAGUACGAGAGGACCGGAGUGGACGCAUCACUGGUGUUCGGGUUGUCAUGCCAAUGGCACUGCCCGGUAGCUAAAUGCGGAAGAGAUAAGUGCUGAAAGCAUCUAAGCACGAAACUUGCCCCGAGAUGAGUUCUCCCUGAGACUUAGAGUCUCCUGAAGGAACGUUGAAGACGACGACGUUGAUAGGCCGGGUGUGUAAGCGCAGCGAUGCGUUGAGCUAACCGGUACUAAUGAACCGUGAGGCUUAACCUU
rnacentral:rRNA from 1 species